rnacentral:rRNA from 1 species
UNCANUAACCANGCAUCCACNUGGUAGGUGCUGCCAUCGGCAAGAUGACAAACAUGGNCUUCCCUUCCUCAACUGUNAAAGAACAAACUAANGCACUCAAUCUUCCGAGAUGGGCAGAUGAUCAAUAGCACCUUACUUCCUACAUCCCUAAAGCGUUAUUCAGCACUACACACUAAACCCUAAACCCCUUCUCUACUGCUUCCCCAGCGACCAGCCCGCGCUCUUUGCGGGCCUUCUAUCCCUGUGGUGGAGCUGACCGGUCUCGAACCGGUGACCCCCUGCUUGCAAANCAGGUGCUCUCCCAACUGAGCUACAGCCCCAUUUGGUGGGCCCAAGUGGACUCGAACCACUGACCUCACGAUUAUCAGUCGUGUGCUCUAGCCAGCUGAGCUAUAGGCCCAAUUCCUUACCGAGUGGCGUGUGUGGGGUCUAGACCCUUUUCUUUAAAGGAGGUGAUCCAGCCGCAGGUUCCCCUACGGCUACCUUGUUAACGACUUCACC